rnacentral:rRNA from 1 species
GACGUAGGGUGCGAGCGUUGUCCGGAUUUAUUGGGCGUAAAGAGCUCGUAGGCGGCUCGUCGCGUCAGCUGUGAAAACCCGCAGCUUAACUGUGGGCUUGCAGCUGAUACGGGCGGGCUAGAGUUCGGUAGGGGAGACUGGAAUUCCUGGUGUAGCGGUGAAAUGCGCAGAUAUCAGGAAGAACACCUAUGGCGAAGGCAGCACUCUGGGACGGUACUGACGCUGAGACGCGAAAGCGUGGGGAGCGAACAGG